rnacentral:lncRNA from 1 species
ACCAGAGCAGACGUUCAUACUGUACGACUUUGUCGUGCGCGACAAGAUGAACAGCAAUAACUCGGCAUGGAUGGCUAUUUCCGCAAGGUAGAGCAGUGAGCCCACGCUGCCGGCAUACUGGCUCACGGAACCUUUAGAGAAACGACAGCUUUUGCCGAAACGAUUGCAGGCGCAGCAUUCUUUUAGCACGCGCUGCUAAUACAGGGCAAGGGCUUUGAAUCUUGAGGAUUGUGCUUUCACGUGAUAUUCCUGGCUAGGGCCUGUUAAUUGCGGUUUGUGGUUAAUCAACGUGCGACACCAUCCGCUAGGGAGGAACAUGUUUCGGGCGCGUGCUUCUGGCUUCUUUGUCGGCUUUGGCGUUGCAGGAGUGCUUGCCGCCUACCAGAUAAGGAAGGACAUACUGAAGUCCCAUGAAGUUCUGCACGAGCAGGUGCGAAGUGACAGUUGUUUGCAGUGUAUCCAUUUCACUGGAUGGACGAAACGUGGCUAUUGAGGUAUAACGCUGGGGAAAAUCGUAUGGCUCCAUGUGCACUCUGCCAUUCAAGAAUCUACCCCUUGUCCCGGGCCUAACUUUUUAAGGUACACCCCUUGUUUGUCUACGACAACCCCUCCAUAGCCACAUUAUCGCACCUGCCUUUCGCUGUAAGAUUUGCAAUUUAAGCCGUCCAGGGUAACCAGCACGUUGCUCGACUCCUGCAGGGCGACAAGUAUCGGCAGGGGUUGGAGCAAAGAGUGGCAUCUUUGGAAGCGACCGUGGCAAAACUGAAAUCGGCGACGAGGACGCCCGUAGCCGUUGCUGAGGCUCCCGCAGCAGUAGCAGCGGCAGCAGCAACAGAGCCGGGCCAAUCUCAAUAGGAGCCGCCCUGCAGAAUUCCCUGCAAUAAAUCUGUGAUUCGCUGGAUGUGCGCUUGGAAGCCUUGUGCUUUAUAAAGGAAGACCAUGUUGCCGCGUCGACAACGGGCGACGACCUGCCGCGCAUAGUUGGGUUAUCGCCCUCGAUCGUCACCUUCAACGCUGUGGGAUGACUUCCAAGUCCUAGCGUAUGUGGGUCAGGCUGCUUCGGCUAUGGAAGGCGACCGGAAGGAUGCUCGUGGUGUAAUCUGUUCCGGUACCCGAGGCUUGGCCAGCGCUUUCUUUCCGUGCCAGAAUCUGUCAACCCGGGCCGGACGCCCAGCUCCUGCACAGAGAGCAUCCGUCCGUCCACUUUAUGGGACUCUCCAUGCACACGAGG